AACGAGGCCGACCUGCGGCUGAGUUACCUGCGGAAGGAUCAUUAUAGAGUUUUCUAAACUCCCAACCCAUGUGAACUUACCUUUUGUUGCCUCGGCAGAAGUUAUAGGUCUUCUUAUAGCUGCUGCCGGUGGACCAUUAAACUCUUGUUAUUUUAUGUAAUCUGAGCGUCUUAUUUUAAUAAGUCAAAACUUUCAACAACGGAUCU
rnacentral:misc_RNA from 1 species